CCUACGGGAGGCAGCAGUGGGGAAUAUUGGGCAAUGGGCGCAAGCCUGACCCAGCAACGCCGCGUGAAGGAAGAAGGCUUUCGGGUUGUAAACUUCUUUUGUCAGGGAAGAGUAGAAGACGGUACCUGACGAAUAAGCCACGGCUAACUACGUGCCAGCAGCCGCGGUAAUACGUAGGUGGCAAGCGUUGUCCGGAUUUACUGGGUGUAAAGGGCGUGUAGCCGGGUGGACAAGUCAGAUGUGAAAUCCUGCGGCUUAAGCGCAGAACUGCGGUUGAAACUGUGGAGCUUGAGUGGGGGCGAGGGAGGCGGAAUGCGGGGUGUAGCGGUGAAAUGCGGAGAUAUUAGGAGG
rnacentral:rRNA from 1 species